GACGAACGCUGGCGGCGUGCUUAACACAUGCAAGUCGAACGGAAAGGCCCUGCUUUUGUGGGGUGCUCGAGUGGCGAACGGGUGCGUAACACGUGAGUAACCUGCCCUUGACUUUGGGAUAACUUCAGGAAACUGGGGCUAAUACCGGAUAGGAUCUCCUGCUGCAUGGUGGGGGUUGGAAAGUUUCGGCGGUUGGGGAUGGACUCGCGGCUUAUCAGCUUGUUGGUGGGGUAGUGGCUUACCCAGGCUUUGACGGGUAGCCGGCCUGAGAGGGUGAACGGCGACAAUGGGACUGCGAUACGGCCCAGACUCCUACGGGAGGCAGCGGUGGGGAGUAUUGCACAAUGGGCGGAAGCCUGAUAAAGCAAUGCCGCGUGCGGGAUGACGGCCUUCGGGUUGUAAACCGCUUUCGCCUGUGACGAAGCGUGAGUGACGGUAAUGGGUAAAGAAGCACCGGCUAACUACGUG
rnacentral:rRNA from 1 species